rnacentral:rRNA from 1 species
UACGGAGGAUCCGAGCGUUAUCCGGAUUUAUUGGGUUUAAAGGGUGCGCAGGCGGGGGAUUAAGUCGGAGGUGAAAUUUUGCAGCUCAACUGUAAAAGUGCCUUCGAAACUGGUUUCCUUGAGUGUAGAUGAAGUAGGCGGAAUUUGUGGUGUAGCGGUGAAAUGCAUAGAUAUCACGAGGAACUCCGAUUGCGCAGGCAGCUUACUAAACUACUACUGACGCUCAGGCACGAAGGCGUGGGGAUCAAACAGGAUUAGAUACCCCGGUAGUCCCUGA